rnacentral:rRNA from 1 species
UAGAUCUCAAAUCAGUCAGGACUACCCGCUGAACUUAAGCAUAUCAAUAAGCGGAGGAAAAGAAACUAACAAGGAUUCCCCUAGUAACGGCGAGUGAAGUGGGAAAAGCUCAACUUUGAAAUCUGGCACUUUCAGUGUCCGAAUUGUAGUCUCAAGAAGUGUUUUCUGUGCUGGCCCGUGUAUGAGUCUGUUGGAACACAGCGUCAUAGAGGGUGACAACCCCGUUCAUGACACGGAUCCCAGUGCUUUGUGAUACACUUUCGAAGAGUCGAGUUGUUUGGGAAUGCAGCUCAAAUUGGGUGGUAAAUUCCAUCUAAAGCUAAAUAUUGGCGAGAGACCGAUAGCAAACAAGUACCGUGAGGGAAAGAUGAAAAGCACUUUGGAAAGAGAGUUAACAGUACGUGAAAUUGUUGAAAGGGAAACGAUUGAAGUCAGACGUGCGUGAUGCGGUUCAGCUCUGGUUCGCCAGAGUGUACUCCGUAUCUUUGCAGGCCAACAUCGGUUUUGUUAGUCGGAUAAAGGUUUGAGAAAUGUGGCACCUCCGGGUGUGUUAUAGUCUCAGACUGAAUACGAUUGAUGAGACCGAGGAACGCAGCGCGCCG